rfam:Comamonadaceae bacterium SCN 68-20 ABT02_C0001, whole genome shotgun sequence.
CUUUCCGAGGAGCGUUGCAGCGCCCCCAGCACGGCGGGGCGCGAGGCUCGGAAUCCCACUUCUGCAACGACGCUCGCCCACG